rnacentral:rRNA from 1 species
ACUCCUACGGGAGGCAGCAGUGGGGAAUAUUGGACAAUGGGCGAAAGCCUGAUCCAGCCAUGCCGCGUGUGUGAAGAAGGUCUUCGGAUUGUAAAGCACUUUAAGUUGGGAGGAAGGGCAAUCAGCGAAUACCUGGUUGUUUUGACGUUACCGACAGAAUAAGCACCGGCUAACUCUGUGCCAGCAGCCGCGGUAAU